GUUUCUCCCAGCUUGGGGAUACUCAGAAACCUCCCUGCCUGGAGGCAGCCAGCUGAGAGGAGAGCAAUACCUCAGUUUCAUAUGAAAAAUGAAGAGGAACUCACAUGCUGGGGCCACCUGAAAAACAGGAUCUGACAAAAACAAGUUACAAAAGGAUAACUUGAUGUUACUGGCUUGCAAGAAGAACAGAAAUGGAUCAAAAAGAAGUUGAGUUUGCAGAAAUCUCCCACUGGCAGUUCUUAUGGCUGCCUCUAAGAAAGAGGAAGAAGAAACAACCUUACGUAACUAAGAUGCAUCUGGAAAGCAAGAACCAAAAGCCUGCCUGUUUUAGUUUUCUUGUGAGGCUUUAGCAUCGUUUGGGGCAGUUUAUAACUGAAUGUGCUAGAGCACAGACACAGCUGUGUGCUCAAUGACCAACCAUCACCAGCUGUCUGUCUCCUGGGGCCCACACUUUGUAACAGGAGGAUCUUCCAGGGCCAGAGAGCAGCCAGGAUGAGUGCAGGUUGGCACUGCACGUGGGGCACAGGAGAGUGAAGUCCUGUCCUUUCUGCACACUGCAGUGACUUAGGCACCACGUUCCUGGGUGUGUUUUCAUCAACCAAAAUGACAGUCUGCAAAAGUGCCCCGGGGACAUGGGAAUCCUUCUGCAUGGGUCACACAUGCAAAGAGCCUUCUCAAGGCUUCCUCUUAUAAAGAGGAUUCUGUUAGAGAGGACUCUGUUUUAUCUUAGAUCUGUAAUAUAAGUUGUAACAGGUUACAGAAAUACAUACACACUCGUGCACAUUUCAUCUGUGACAUUUUCUGUAACUUGUUAUUGUCCAGAUCACUGAUAAAGGCAUUAAGGUGUAUAACCAGUGGUGGGUCCCACAGCAUUCCACCCACUCAGCAGUGAUUUCCCUGCACUGUUGUGCUGUAAGGAUCCAGCUUCUGUUCUCGUGCUACUCUGCAUAUGUUGGAUCUGGAGUUGUGGCAUUUUUUUAAUGUUUUAGAAUAUAAAGCAGUUUAGUGGGCUUUUACAGCUAUAUUUAUUAUACUCCUCAAAAUAAAUUUACAAUAAAUCAUUUUUAUACA
rnacentral:lncRNA from 1 species